AAUAAACGACGACGUGCAACGUUUUAGUCAGAGAUUGUUAGUGAAGUUACACCGCUAUUGUGCUACGAUCAGAGGAUCGAAGUUGCCGCUAUUUCGUGUAUUUCGUUGUCUCUCUGCUACCCUUUGGUGCGAGUCGUCAACCAAAGGACUCGUGGAUGCAAUGUGGGACUCUCUGAAGUGGAGAAUUCUCCUGUUAGUGGUUGUGACAUCUGCUGCAGCAGCGACAUCACUAAAACCAAUGGAUAUCGGGGAAUCACCAAUCGGUGGUAAGAAGCUGUAAUGUACUAAUUUAGCCAGGCCUAAAAUUAGGCCUUGCAGUGAUUUGUUAGUUUCUUUUCAAUUAUUAUUUGGCUUAAAUUUACAAACGUUAGAGAGUGAUUUAAUUUGUCCCGUGUAACAACACCCAACAAUUAGUUCAAAAAACCCAAAACUAAAAAAACGAAAACAACGGAAUUAAGACGAAAUCGAGCAAUUUCAGUUUUUAACGGACAAAAAUCUUGUACCAGAGUAACUUUAAGUGUAUUUUAAUACAGUGCGUUUUCCAUUUUACAAAAGCUUAAGAUAUAAAUAGUUGCCUUAAAUAACACCAAAAAUAAUGUCCCGUCGGAACUCGAGAAAAUCAUGCAAUUUUAAAGCUCAGAAAAAUUGUGCAAAGAUAGGUAAAAUUUCAUCAUCAGUUUCAUUUCACCAAUAGUUUUAAGUGUUUU